CUGAUGCACUGGCUGUACCUUUAUUAUUUUUACCUCGUUCACUAACAGCUCCGUGACGCAAGGUUACCACACACAGUUAGAUAGUGUCUGCAUUGCACAUCUAAGGCUAUACAGCAAAAGAAUCAGAAUUAGUACAAAUACAAGAACUAUAUUUACAGUCUGUAUACUCAAGCUCCAAACAUCAGAUAAUAUUUACAAAAUAAAACAUGAAAAUGAAAAUCCAAAAUUAAUGUACAUUGUUGCUAAUGUGCUCAACUCCUUCACGGGGGAGAGAUCAGUUUGCAAAGUCUUGGUUCAAAAAGGCCACUUAUGCAUUAUGGGUUUUGUUGUCAUGUGUGAGGAUGGUGACAAGAGACUUGAAAUCUCAACAGACAGGUACUUUAGAGCCACAAAGUCUAAGACGAUGCCUUAAAUACAAGAAGGCUGAGGGACUCCUCAAGUGAGCUGAUGCCAGAAUAGGCAGAAUGAAAAAAAAUGAACUUGAAGACAUGAAGAACAACACACAACAGCCACGGUUUGGCAAGAGACCAACCUCAGCUCAGACUUUCCAUCUGAGCACAGCCGUCUGGCUAUGAGCUUUUUACUGAAUUUUAUAGCAACUCUGAUUUCUUCCUUUAAAUGAUUGGAGGCUUUUUAAAGAUCUUAUGGGGCUCAAAUACUAACUUCAUAAAUGGCCUUUUGAACAACAGCAGCAAAUAAUCUCUCAGCUGAUAUUUCAAUUUACUAAGGAAGCACAAAUUAAAACAUUCCUGCUACACAGUCACGGUCUGGCCACACACUGGGGUGAAUCACUGGCCCUGGUGAACAACUGUAGUGCACACAAGUUAGAGUCCUAUGUAAACACAUCCAGCAAACCUUCUGGGAGCAGCAGCAACAUGAAUCUUUUCUUUUUUUUUUUGAGACGGAGUCCUGCUUUGUCACCCAGGCUGGAGUGCAAUGGUGCAGUCUCAACUCACUGCAGCCUCCACCUCCCAGGUUCAAGCUAUUCUCCUGCCUCAGCCUCCCAAGUAGCUGGGACUACAGGCACACGCCACCACGCCUGGCUACUUUUUGUAUUUUUAGUAGAGACAGGGUUUCACCAUGUUGGCCAGGCUGGUCUCAAACUCCUGACCUCAGGUGAUCCACCUGCCUUGGCCUCCCAAUGUGCUGGGAUUACAGGCGUGAGCCACCACACCCGGUUGAAUCUUUCAAGGGGCAGGUUAACAAUCACAUUUUAAAAAGGGAACCGAAAGGAAAACUGAAAGACCCAAGUCAAACAAGCCCUGAUACUGUCCAUUGGAACCCGAGCGGGACACAGCACGAGGGAAAUGCAGAAAGAGUACCGAUGAGUGUGCACACUGGAGAAUCCUUUCUCUCCAAUCCACUGUGCAAGUAAGUAUAGCUGGAUAAAUAUACAUAGACCUGACAAAAUUAAAUAUCCCUGUAAAUUAGACAAUAAGCAGCAGGCAACAAAGUCUUUGCUUUGGAAUAUGUGCCAGGAAAAGUCAUCUUGUUUUUAGAUGUCAAGAGACAGUUCACAAUGACUUAGUUCCUUCAUCUGAAAUGAGCUGAAAAAUCCAUAAAAAAUAGGAGAGUUGUCUGAAGUCUAUGUGACUGAAGGGAAAAAAUAUAUCAUAUAAUAGUGGUUUCUUAGUUGGGAAACUCACUCCAUUGCCCCUUGCCGUCAGCACGUUUAACAACGAGCUGGGGCUCAGGUGCCCGGCCACUGCCACAAGCACCCCUUGCCUGUGCUCCUGACUAGCGCAUGGGCUGGCUGGCCCUGCACAGUCCUGGCCUGAGCGCUGACUGACUCCCAGGAGGGCACACAGACACAGAGAGGGUCUGAGCACUGAUUUGGGGCUGGUGGUGAGGCCAUAUUUUGCUUUGACGGGAGAAAGGAGGAUGAGAGACAGAGGAGGAGGUGAUUAGUAUUAACUAGCACUUAUUUCUCUGAAUUUGCCUAAGAAUUCUCUUUCCUGCCUUUUAAAGUUUUUGCUUAUUUAAAGGCGUGCUUUAAGAAAAUACAUAAAGGUAGUUUCCCUAAGGGCUAUGUUUCUUAACUUUCCCGCCACAACAGCAACAACUAGAGCCUCAUAAACAGUUCCUGCCACAAAUCUCUCACAGCCUCACAGUGGGGAUGGUUCUGUCGGGCAAGGGAACACCCACCCUGGAUGUGCUGGGGACCAGCAAAGGCUGUCUGCACCUGCCAGCCGCAGCAGGGGCGCCCCAGAGGGUGAAGAGCACGCAGGACACGACCACUCUGCUCCCUCUGGCUCCCUAAGAGGCCUUCUUAUUCAGGCACGCUAUGAACAGACAGUCCAGUUUGGCCUGUUCUAAUGUCUGACGCUUCCAAAGCAAAGACUUUCCAAACCAGUUUUGUAUGAGUUAGAAGAAAAACAAAAGUCAUUUCAGUGUAUCACAUAAUUUCACUCUCUCUCAGGCUUCCCACCGUCCUGUGUCACAGACAUGGAUCCUCUGUCACACUUUGUAACAGCAGCAUCAAUGACUUAAUUUUAAAAGUGACCUUCAAAUUCCAUCUUCAUUUCCCUGAAAUUAGAUUUGAUUCCAGUCCAGGCAGCCAUCUCUAAGCACCGACAGAUCCUGCUGGUUUGAAUAGAACCAGAAGGGCAUGUUGUGUCCAUCAGACAAUGAAACUUCUAACUACAUUAGAAAAUCUCACAUACCACUUAGAAAACAAACAACAUCACAGUUAGUGACCUAUGUUUUAACAGGAAGAAGAAAGUUAAAAAAAAAAUCCGCCAUAGAGUUUCCGCGGGUCACUUUUCAGGUACAGACGCAGCCUGUGAUUCUAUCCUUUCCUUUCUCUCUCCGUGAUUAACUUUUCCACCUCUUCACAAUGCAGUGAUAAGGAGCGAAGCUGGGAGACCUGUUCUUCAGAGAUGAGCCCAACCAGGAAGUGAGAAACAAGGUUGUGGAUGAUGACACAAGUCUCCCUAGCAACAACUCUGCAGAGGCGCGCAAGCCCCUGGCCUUUGCUGCAUGAAGCGGGAAGUCAUCCAGCUGCCUAACGCCUGAGAGUCAGCAACCUCAAGGCCGAGGACUCACCAAGUGGGAGUGAGCAGAUACUUUCCUGAAUGGCUGAGCAAUGGUGAAACAGAGAGGUCUGAGCAAGGGAAGUAAAGGAUGGUGUAAAACAAUCCCAAGACAACUGGCAAAGCAACUGAAGUCACUGGAGGCUUUCUUUUUCCCCUCUCAUCCUGGAAAACUUACUGGCAGCUGAAAGAGACAGACUUAUCUUCUCUGAUGAUCUUGGAAGCCAGAUGACCUGGUCUGUCAGAAGGAAAGAAGACUGUCCACAGUGAGCUUCCUCCUUUCUCCCUGGGCAGUGUUUCCACACCAGAUGGAGAGGAGCAGGAACACGCAACAAAGCCUGGGGCCCGGGCUCCCUGGACGCUCAUCCGUGCCCCUAGGCAUAUUGUGUUUUGUUUGGAGUAGUGGUCACGGUUAGUUUUAAUCCUGGGAUCCAGAAAGCAAAGCCUGCCACAUUUGCUUAUUUAUGAGUAUAGAGAGCAUCACUGAAAGCAUCUUCAACCUGACAAACAUCAAUGAAAACAACUGCUGGAUUCAGAGGGAGACUUCCAGGUUUAUGCCUGAAAGCUAUAUUUCUUUGACCAAAGGGAGCUGUAACAAUCACAAGGUCACUACCCAGCAUUAUUUAUUUAUUUUUUUUUCUGAGACAGAGUCUUGCUCUGUCACCCAGGCUCGAGUGCAAUAGCGCGAUCUUGGCUCACUGCAACCUCUGCCUCCUGGGUUCAAGCAGUUCUCCUGCCUCAGGCUCCCAAGCAGCUGGAAUCACAGGCAUGUGCCACCAUACCCGACUAAUUUUGUAUUUUUAGUAGAGACGGGGUUUCAUCAUAUUGGCCAGGCUGGUCUUGAACUCCUGAUCUCGUGAUCUGCCCGCCUCGGCCUCCCCAAGUGCUUGGAUUACAGGCGUGAGCCACUGUGCCCCGCCUGCCCGGCAUUAUCUUAAUCAUAACAAUGACCAUCAAGUUUAUCACCAGAAAGUGAAACACUCCCGCCUUGUGGAACAUUUGUGUAUGACAUGGCACUAAUUCCAACUGUACCACCACCAUCACUAAUGCCAAAAGCAGAACUGAGACACUCCUAGAAAAGAGCUUCCCUCCCAACAGAGAAAAAACAGUGGGCAGGAAUCCUGCUGUGAGGAGCUACAAGCAUCCCACCGCCUGCUGCCAUCACGGCCCACGGCCAAACCCUGGGGUCCCCUGAAGUCCACCAGAAGCAUCCUUGGCAUUUCCCUUCACACAAAGUCAAGAGCAGCCACUGUCCCAGGCCCACUGAAAAAGCCUCUCGUCUCCUCUCUACCAGCCACAUGCUACUAACGAGAUUCUCAGCACGAGAAAAAAGAAAAGAGUACAGAGCAAUGGAGAUGGGGAACGGGAGAGCUAGAAAAGUGCUGGACAAGGAGGGAGAAGUAGUUAAGCCACAGGAUUACAUACAAGAGUCACCGUCAAGAAUCACAAAGAGAAAUGAGAGGUAACGCUUUCUUUAUCUCUCGAAGGCGAGUGAGGGCACUCGGCAGAGUCACUUAGUAUUUCGACUGGCUUGGGCAUCUGCGGGAAAGCUUUGACCUAUGGGGGACAAACGG
rnacentral:lncRNA from 1 species